GGGGUUGUGGCUCACUGGCAGAGCACUCGCUUAGCAUGCGGGAGGUACUGGGUUCGAUCCUCAGCACCA
rnacentral:tRNA from 1 species